rnacentral:rRNA from 1 species
UACGGGGGGGGCAAGCGUUGUUCGGAAUUACUGGGCGUAAAGCGCGUGUAGGCGGUUCGUAAAGUCGGAUGUGAAAGCCCUGGGCUUAACCCAGGAAGUGCAUUCGAAACUCACGAACUUGAGUCCCGGAGAGGAAGGCGGAAUUCUCGGUGUAGAGGUGAAAUGCGUAGAUAUCGGGAGGAACACCAGUGGCGAAGGCGACUACCUGGCCUGUUCUUGACGCUGAGGCGCGAAAGCUAGGGGAGCAAACGGG